UGAAGGCGACGACAACAACCGUGAGAGCGGCAGGAGAAGCGUCAGCAAGAAGAGACGUUGGCUUUUGAAAUAAGAGAAGGCGGCUAGGGUGCAGAGGUGUGAGCUUGACGGGAAUUUAGACCCGUGCUCACGAGGCCUUUACCUAGCUGGCUCUGCCUUUCGCUACGACCUGGCGUCUUCUUCGAAGCAGUCUGUGGUCGCCACGGUUCUGACGGCUCUCCAAAAGCUUGGCAAUUAGGCGUGGAAGAGCAGGUUGCCGAGUGCCUCAACCGGUAUGCUAAGGGUAUCCCCUCGAUCGCUGCACGUCUUCUUCGAAGCCUGUGACGUACCGUUGCAAGUACUUCCCGACCGCAAUGUGACAGUCGAACGCUUCGUCAUGUCGGUCGUCUGUAAUCAGGUGAGGCAUCACUUCGGUGCUCCCCAUGGUACUAGGACUGCACUAAUUGGUACGACCCACAGUGCUGCUUGCGAUGUCUGUGGCUGCAUAGAGAACAUCGAGCCGCUGUACUCGACUUCAAGCACAAAGUCCUGGACGCUGGCACAACUUCAAGACUUCGGUGGCACCGUAAUGCCUGCCGUGCCAUUGGACCUUCAGCUCCACGCUGAAGCCGGAAGCAAGUUCCUGGCUGUGGUGCGCUGGAUACUAGGACCUGCUGACCCAGUGAAUUCCGGGAGCUGAAUACUUCCUUCGUUGUGAAGUCACGCUCACCACAAAAGGCGGGAUGCGUUAAAGUGGCCGCCAGACCACCCUUCAAAGUCGUGCCCGGAGGAGCAGGGGCGUACCCAGAUUGUUGCCCGAAGAUAGUUCGCGACAAUACCUUCCCGACGCCUUGGUAUUCUUGAAGCUGCAGAAAACCACCAGGCUCAUUUAUUUGUCUGUCAAGCAAUGAAAAUGUUCCGCGGUCUUUUAGAACACAUAGUAGCCGACCUAACCUUUAUCUCCGAUGCAAGCACUGCACUCGGGUCUCCCGUUCAGUGUCCCUAAUAACCAGCACAAGAACCCAGCAACUAGUUUUUUUCAUAUAGGCCCAGUUUCGCAAUUCGCUAAUUGUUAUCCGAUUAAUAAACGUAUUAACAUC